UUCUAGCCCCGAUUGAAGUGUAAAGCCCGGAACAAAAAAAGGGAGUGGUUCUUGGCAAAAAAAAGCGACCAAAGAAGCUCUUUUUUUGCCUUAGAACCACCCCUUUUUUUGUGAGGACUUGAAACGAAAAGCGGGAAUAGCU
rnacentral:sRNA from 1 species